rnacentral:rRNA from 1 species
GACGAACGCUGGCGGCGUGCCUAAUACAUGCAAGUAGGACGCAGUUGCGAACGGGUGAGUAACGCGUAGGUAACUACCUAUUAGAGGGGGAUAACUAUUGGAAACGAUAGCUAAUACCGCAUACGAGUAGAUGGAACUGCGUUGUAUUAGCUAGUAGGUAGGGUAAUGGCCUACCUAGGCAACGAUACAUAGCCGAGCUUAGGGGGUGGUCCGCCCCACUGGGACGUAGACACGGCACAGACUCCUACGGGAGGCAGCAGUAGGGGAUCUGUGGCAAAUGGGGGAAGCCUUAGCGAGCACCGCCCCGUUAGUGAGAAAGGUUUUCGGAUCGUUAAGCUCAGUUGUUGAGGAAGCGGUACUUAACCAGAAAGGGACGGCUAACUACGUGCCAGCAGCCGCGGUAAUUC